rnacentral:rRNA from 1 species
ACUGUGAAGGAUUUAUUUUUAUUUUAUUAAAAGCAUACUUUUUUUGUAUUACCUUUUGUAUCAGGGUUUAUCAAUUUUAUAUUAAUUAUUUAAUUUUCCCGAAAUUAAAAGAGAUAUAUUAUAAUGAUUUUUUAUGUUUCAUAAUAAUUUUUAAUUUUAAUAUAGGGGUUAUAUGCUAUUCAAUUUUAAAUAUCUGGUUUUCUAAUACAUUAAUUUAAUUAAGAUUAACAUUUGUAGGUUGAUAUAUAAAUUUAUUUUAUUCAAUUUUGUUAAUUAAGUUUAUAGGGGAUA